rnacentral:rRNA from 1 species
AAUAGUAUCAAUCGCAGUUCUAGCGUUAAGCACUAGGAUUUCACAACUGACUUAAUAAGCCGCCUACGCACCCUUUAAACCCAAUAAAACCGGAUAACGCUUGCACCUCCCGUAUUACCGCGGCUGCUGGCACGGAAUUAGCCGGUGCUUAUUCUUACAGUACUCUCAAGAACCCCCGCAGGGAUUUUUUUGCUCCUGUACAAAAGCAGUUUACAACUCAUAGAGCCUUCAUCCUGCACGCGGCAUGACUGGUUCAGGCUUGCGCCCAUUGACCAAUAUUCCCUACUGCUGCCUCCCGUAGGAGUCUGGCCCGUAUCUCAGUGCCAGUGUGGGGGACCUUCCACUAAGAACCCCUACCCAUCGUAGCCUUGGUGAGCCAUUACCUCUCCAACUAGCUAAUAGGACG